rnacentral:rRNA from 1 species
GACGAACGCUGGCGGCGUGCUUAACACAUGCAAGUCGAACGGAAAGGCCCUGCUUGCAGGGUACUCGAGUGGCGAACGGGUGAGUAACACGUGGGUGAUCUGCCCUGCACUUCGGGAUAAGCCUGGGAAACUGGGUCUAAUACCGGAUAGGAGCCAUUUUUAGUGUGAUGGUUGGAAAGUUUUUUCGGUGUAGGAUGAGCUCGCGGCCUAUCAGCUUGUUGGUGGGGUAAUGGCCUACCAAGGCGGCGACGGGUAGCCGGCCUGAGAGGGUGGACGGCCACAUUGAGACUGAGAUACGGCCCAGACUCCUACGGGAGGCAGCAGUGGGGAAGAUUGAACAAUGGGCGCAAGCCUGAUGCAGCGACGCCGCGUGGGGGAUGACGGCCUUCGGGUUGUAAACUCCUUUCGCUAGGGACGAAGCUUUUUGUGACGGUACCUAGAUAAGAAGCACCGGCUAACUACGUG